GAUGAACGCUAGCUACAGGCUUAACACAUGCAAGUCGAGGGGUAACGAGAGGGAAGCUUGCUUUCCUUGUCGACGACCGGCGCACGGGUGAGUAACGCGUAUCCAACCUGCCCCCAACUAAGGAAUAACCUUGCGAAAGUAAGACUAAUACCCUAUAAUUUCCUCAGAUGACAUCUGACGAGGAAUAAAGAUUUAUCGGUUGUGGAUGGGGAUGCGUCUGAUUAGCUUGUUGGCGGGGUAACGGCCCACCAAGGCAACGAUCAGUAGGGGUUUGGCAAGGAAGGUCCCCCACAUUGGAACUGAGACACGGUCCAAACUCCUACGGGAGGGAGCAGUGAGGAAUAUUGGUCAAUGGGCGGAAGCCUGAACCAGCCAAGUAGCGUGCAGGAUGACGGCCCUAUGGGUUGUAAACUGCUUUUAUACAGGAAUAAAGUUAGCCACGUGUGGUUAUUUGUAGGUACUGUAUGAAUAAGGACCGGCUAAUUCCGUGCCAGCAGCCGCCGUAA
rnacentral:rRNA from 1 species